UCGCCCUUAGAGUUUGAUUCUGCAUCAGGACGAACGCUGGCGGCGUGCUUAACACAUGCAAGUCGAGCGGUAAGGCCCCUUCGGGGGUACACGAGCGGCGAACGGGUGAGUAACACGUGAGUAAUCUGCCUUUCACAUCGGGAUAACUCUCGGAAACGGGAGCUAAUACCGAAUACGACCACUUCAGGCAUCUGAUGGUGGUGGAAAGUUCCGGCGGUGAAGGAUGAACUCGCGGCCUAUCAGCUUGUUGGUGGGGUAAUGGCCCACCAAGGCUUCGACGGGUAGCCGGCCUGAGAGGGUGACCGGCCACACUGGGACUGAGACACGGCCCAGACUCCUACGGGAGGCAGCAGUGGGGAAUAUUGGACAAUGGGCGAAAGCCUGAUCCAGCAACGCCGCGUGAGGGAUGACGGCCUUCGGGUUGUAAACCUCUUUCAGUAGGGACGAAGCGCAAGUGACGGUACCUACAGAAGAAGCACCGGCCAACUACGUGCCAGCAGCCGCGGUAAUACGUAGGGUGCGAGCGUUGUCCGGAAUUAUUGGGCGUAAAGGGCUCGUAGGCGGUUUGUUACGUCGGGAGUGAAAACCCAGGGCUCAACCCUGGGCCUGCUUCCGAUACGGGCAGACUAGAGGUAUGCAGGGGAGAACGGAAUUCCUGGUGUAGCGGUGAAAUGCGCAGAUAUCAGGAGGAACACCGGUGGCGAAGGCGGUUCUCUGGGCAUUACCUGACGCUGAGGAGCGAAAGUGUGGGGAGCGAACAGGAUUAGAUACCCUGGUAGUCCACACCGUAAACGUUGGGCGCU
rnacentral:rRNA from 1 species